rnacentral:tRNA from 1 species
GGUCCUAUGGUGUAGUUGCUAUCACGUCUGCUUCAGACGCAAAAACUCGCCGGUUCUAUCGCGGCCAGGACCC